rnacentral:rRNA from 1 species
AUUGAACGCUGGCGGCAGGCUUAACACAUGCAAGUCGAGCGGUAACAGAGAGAAGCUUGCUUCUCUGCUGACGAGCGGCGGACGGGUGAGUAAUGCCUAGGAAUCUGCCUAGUAGUGGGGGAUAACUUGCCGAAAGGUAAGCUAAUACCGCAUACGUCCUACGGGAGAAAGGAGGGGACCUUCGGGCCUUUCGCUAUUAGAUGAGCCUAGGUCGGAUUAGUUAGUUGGUGAGGUAAUGGCUCACCAAGACCGCGAUCCGUAACUGGUCUGAGAGGAUGAUCAGUCACACUGGAACUGAGACACGGUCCAGACUCCUACGGGAGGCAGCAGUGGGGAAUAUUGGACAAUGGGGGGAACCCUGAUCCAGCCAUGCCGCGUGUGUGAAGAAGGUCUUAGGAUCGUAAAGCACUUUAAGUUGGGAGGAAGAGCAGUCAACUAAUAUUUGACUGUUUUGACGUUACCGACAGAAUAAGCACCGGCUAACUUCGUGCCAGCCGCCGCAGUAA